rnacentral:lncRNA from 1 species
ACCAAGACUACCCCAAGGUUUGCCCUGAUUCACUGAAUCUUUCUAAUGCCGGCGAUUCCUUUGCCGGAAUAUCAUCGUUAUCUUCCUGUUAUCUGUUUUCCCGGACCAGGGACUUGAUUGCUAUGUUUUAGAAAUUUCUAGGGUGUUAUUUAUAAAAUUUCCACAGCUUUCUUUAUUUCAAAUCCGUGAACUUUUACAUUUCAUAGAUUUUCGUAGGAAGUUCAUAAAAGUACAAAAUCAAUUUUGUUUGAAACCCUAGGUUGAAAUCUACAAGUUUUAUGUUAUGAUCUUGAAUGAGAGUCUUUGAAUUGUAAUCUAGGUUGAAUACUAGGAAACGAAUGCUUUAUUUGUACCUUGAGUGGUAUGCAUGUGUUGUAGCUAAAGGGUUAAUCAUAGGAUAUAUGCCUUAGGCAGAAAGGUGUAAUAUCUAGUUAAUCCUAUCACCCUGGUGCUCAUAUCCUUGCCGUCAAGACGUUAUCCUUGUCUUGAUUGCCGUUUCCUUAAAUUUCUCUUCGUGUAAAGGUCUUUGUUAAUUCAGGUGCAUCUGUUGCUUAGCUUAUACAUCUCUGCAGCUAUGCUUCAGUGUCGGCUAUUAGCUCAGCCGCUAAGCAUCCAUUUCCUUAAGUCUAUGAUGUUUCUGCGUAACAGCUGUCAGCCGAUGCAUUUCUUUUAGUAUGCUUCUACCAUCGGUUGAUUAGCUGAUACGGUUGUUACCUUUCUAAUAUCGGCUACUGCCGAUAUAAUCCUUUUGUUCUGUCCUACAUCGACUGCACAGAAUCGAUGUAUCGGAGAGACACACAUGAUCUUAGGGUUCUUGCCAGGCCGACCCAAGCCAAUUUUGGCUGUUUUUCCAUAUCGGUCAAACACGGCCGAUUGAUCCUUAGUUUCCCUAUCCUUAUCCACACACUUCUAUCAGCCGAUUUAUCAACUGAAAGAUUGGCUGUGUAUCUAUCAGUCACCUACCCUUAACCACACUCCAAUCGGCUGUACGUCACUCAAUAGUUGUGCUGACAUAAUCGAGUCGAUACAACCACACCUAGUUGCCUAGUAUAACACUUAAGCACAUCCCAGUUAAGACAACUGCUUUAGGAAUCAUCCCUCUGCUAAGGUAAUCGAUGCUUUCAUCGAUCAAUUAGGAAACCAAUGCACCUUUCCAUCGGCUAAACCUCAGUUGUUUCCAAUCGGCUCUGUUGUAAUCUCCAACAAGUAGCCGAUUCUAAUUAGUUGUCCACCUACAACUCUGUUUAAGUUUAACUUCAAAUCUUUUUGGUUGUUAUGUGAAUAGUGUGUUAUAUGAGUGCUAGAUUGCAACUUUGUUGUGAAAUAAAAUAGUUUUGUGUGCACGCUUGAAUGUAAUGUUGCAUUACAUGUAGAUACGACUACUUCGACAACGGUACCUACGAGAUCUCCCCGGAGUCUACGGAGGAUGUUCCUGAAGACCAAGUGAACGUCACCAAGAGAUUAACUGAAGCCCCGAACCAAAGUUCGGGAGAUAUUGACAUUUCUGACUUCAGCCCCACCAGUAAAGGCAAGCCCCGGACAUAACCCACUAUUUUAAUUACACUGCAAUCUAUAUCUAUUUACAUAUUUUAUGCAUUAAGUUCUUAGGAAUUGCUUGAAACCCUAGUUGCACUCUCCUAGGAACCAAUGUGAUGGAUACUAGCACUUGAGUUCGACUAGCUGCUGUGCUAAUAAGGCCGGUAGAAGUCGGGUGAUUUCCUGUCACUCGCGCGAUAUAGGAGUUGCUUGUUUACAAUUCUGCAACCACUAUAAGGAUGACGGACAGGGUCAUGUGCUGUAUCAUGACCUGAAGUUUUACCCCGUCUGUUUUGUUAAAAGUUGAUAAGGCCGAUCCAUGUGGUAGUGGUGGCUAAGCGUUUGAAAGUACUAGCCACAUGCCACGAAAUAUGGUAAGCGGUAAGCCUAGUAGCCAAUCGGCCCGGCAAGUGGACAUACUGACCACCACAUGUAUUUGGUUCUUUUGGUUACUUGAUUCGAUGUGUGGGAAUACGUGUUGCAAGGGCAACCAGGAGUACGGGUUUUGUAGUCGCGCUACAGACGUACGUCCUGCACAUAUAGGGUGUGCGUAUGGUCCUGCAGUCGCUUUUGGUGGCCCUGUCCACAACCUGGAAUGAAAGGCAAACGGUUGCUUCAGAACGCCCUGUUGGUAUUCCAAGCGUGUGUGUUAGGUUUACCUUGCAAGGUUGAAUCUCGAUUCAGGAAUCGUCCGCCUCUCACGAUGAAUGAGACUACUUAUCCAUUUUACCACAUAGAGUAAGAAGUGUAACUAAUGAUGGAACAAUCUUGAUGGAUGAUAAUCCCUACCUUGCUUGUUUAGUGUAGGUGCUUACCUAGAAUGGCUAAUCAAACUAGAAUCUGAAAGCUAAAAUUUGAAAGUAGUUCAUACUCUUUGUUGCUUUUCAGCUGAAAAUAAACCCAGAACCUUUACAAUGCCUUCAUGAGUCUAGUUACGGGCUAAAGUAUACCCAAUUCCGGGUAAGCCUUGCUGAGUAUUAGUAUACUCAGCCUUGCUAGCUAUAUAUUUUGCAGGUAAUGUCUGGAAAACCCUACUCUCCCCUGCCUUGGCCCUGUGCUCUUCCAGAAGGUUGGUCCGUGGAAUGGGAUCCGUCCUCGGCCAACAUUGAUGAUACCGAGUGAUGUCGUGCCCGGGCUUAGCAUGACAUCCGUUUUGUCGACGUGCUGUAGAUCAUCGCGUAUGUUUUUCCGCUGCUAAACACCAUAGCUUUAACAGUUUGUAAUAUCUUUUCUAAUUUAGAGCUUCAUACUUCUUUCGGAAACUCUUGUAAUGAAUUUCCCUGUGAUGUAAAAUAUGAUGGUAAUUGUAUCUCUGGACUCACCUUCGUGUGAGGUAACCUUAUUUGAUCCUGUGUAUCGGUGGUUUAUCGGGACGUUACCCGACAGGCCAAGGGAUUAUUCCGUUUGAAGCACGUUGGAGCCCUCUGGAGUGGACUCGCGUACUUGAGCCGGUAUAAUUCAG